rnacentral:rRNA from 1 species
CACGGGGGGAGCAAGCGUUGUUCGGAAUCACUGGGCGUAAAGGGCGUGUAGGCGGUCAGGUAAGUGGAAUGUGAAAUCCCUCGGCUCACCCGAGGACCUGCAUCCCAAACUGCCUGGCUUGAGUAUGGGAGAGGAUGAGGGAAUUCCUGGUGUAGCGGUGAAAUGCGUAGAUAUCGGAAGGAACAUCAGUGGCGAAAGCGACUUCCUGGACCAAUACUGACGCUCAUGUGCGAAAGCGUGGGGAGCAAACAGG